AGCUUUCUUUUUGCCUGUUCCUGCUAACAUUUUGUGCACUCUUUUUUCUGCCCCUUCCAGGCUCCAGAAUAUGAAUGGAGUUUAGGUGUUUUGGGGCAACCUAAAGAUUGUCUCCUGUCAUCCCUUGACCUUACCUUGUUCCAUGUACACUAUUGGAACACACAAAGUAUCUCUUGGAGCACAUCACAAGUCCCUUAUAGAAUAUUCACCCAACUCUCCUGUCUACAGAGCAAACAGUGUGGAUGACUAGCAUGUGCCUGAUGUGUAGAAGGGACACAGGGAGGAUAGGCACUGAAGUAUGGAGAUUUGGAAAGACCCCUUUAGUCUCAACUUACAGUACUGUAGUGGAAAUGCUAAGUUGUGGCCUGAAACAGUGAUUGAACACCUGUUAGGAAGGCAGGGCCAACCCAGAGGAGCUCAGCUGCAUGCAAUGCACCUGAGUGACUAGAAGGUGUGGAUCCUGGCUCCACCCCUUCCCAGACCUCAUUUAAGGGUUGGCAGUGAAGACAAGAGGAUUUUGCUGGAGAUCCUUAUGUACCUGAGGCCUUCUGAAGUUUUCUUCUUGAGUGGAAUUUUGGUUCAGAACAGCAUUGCCUCCUGAUAAAUCCGAGUCCUUAGAUGAUCCCUCUUCAAGCAACCAAUUUGGAUAAAGUUGAGAAAGUGCUUAAGCGAGCCGAAGCUUAUCUCAUUUUCAACAGUCAAUUCAGAGUCUAAAGUCUCAUGGAAAAAAUCAGCAAAACUCAAGGCUCCUUAAUUAAUGAGGUUGCAUUUAACGAGGUUGCAUUUCCCUGAGACUUGUUUCUUCAGCAGCAAGAGGGUAAAAGAAGAGCUUAUUCUGCGUGUCUGUCCAAGGCUCCUUGUGCCCAAACCUUUCUACAGCAUGCUCCCAUUUAACACGCAGGAUAUCCCACAGCUUUACCAGACAUAUUGAGUGGUUGGCAGCGUAGAUCUGGCUGGUGGUCUUUGUUUCUCCACAUCACAGAAACUGAAGGGAGGAGAACUUCCUGUGAGAGCUCAGAGGUGGAGGAGUGAAGGAUCUAGGACAGCUCAAUGCUACUCAUCUCCCCCCUGCAAAUUCUUUGAUCUUUCUGAAUGCAGAGAGAAGAGUGUUGCUAUAGAAACCAAUGGGGAAAAUGUACAUUUUAUCACAUUUUAUAUCUUGUUCUAAGGAGACCCUUUAAUCUUAGCCCGCCACGAUGUAUUUUUACAGAAACAAUAUUGCUAAUAAAAACCCUAAGAGUAGUAGCAGCAAUAUCAAAUCAAAUGAAAUAAUCAUCACUUAUUUCAAAAACACUUCUGCUCAUAACCCUCAACCCUAGCCAAGAUGCUGGGAGAGGGAUAGAAAGAUUAGCUAUGGCAUGGAACGUGAGAGGAAGAUACAACUAAGGCAGCAAAAAAUGUGGUAGAAGAUGAGGCUGUGUGUGGGUCUGAUGUGGCAAGAAGAGGUUAACAUUUGAAGAAGGGCAAAGUCUAAGUAAACUAUCGUCAGACUUCGUUUGUGUGUAAUGAAACAUAAAAUAGGGUGAAAGCUGCAUUUCUUAAUGUACAGCCAAAUCUACCUUUCCUUUACUCACCCAUCCUCCUAGUGCCACACUGGGGUCUCAAGGAGACAAUGCUGUUUGUGUGAUUGCACCCUGAAAGACUUUUUCUAGCACCAGUCUGGCCUAGUGGCAGCAGUCCUCCUGGGGAUCCUUCAGGACAGAAACCUAAUUUAGUCCUCUGGAUGUCAAAACAGGCUUUCACUCUGCCCUUCCCACCCUCAAUUUAUUCUUUUCUUAAUUCACUGUGACCAUUAUUUCCUUCCUGAUUUGUUCUGACCCUGUGGCUUAAUUAGAUUUUCCUCAUUUUUUUAUGGUAGCUUCUAUAAUGUGUUGAGUUGUAAUUUCGAGACAAGGACUUUUUCACUGUGUAAAGCACUGUACAAAAUUAAUCUCAGCCCUGUCUUAUUCCAGGGCUAUGACUGAUCCUAAGUUGGUUAUAUGUCUCUGCUCCUUGCUCUGAUACAGGGUACACAAAACAAAACAAAAAAAACCUGAGGCUUUGGUUCACUAAUGUUAGGUUUUAUAGACUGCAGUGCAGAACAGGGUAGGUCUUGAAAUAAAGCAGCUUAAUUAUGCUAGGUAAGCCCAAUUAAGGGUGGAUUGUUGAUGAACAAACUUCUCUACCUUCUUGCAGCAUCUUCUCAGGAUGGAUCUCUUCCUCUAGGCUUGCCUUUAGUCCAGCACAUUUAGUGACUUACAAUAAUGGAAUCCUAGAAUCAUUUAAGUUGGAAGGGACCUUUAAAAGUCAUCUAGUCCAAUUCCACUGCAAUGAACAGAGACUCAGAUCAGGGUGCUCAGAACCCCACCAGCCUUACCUUGGAUGUCUCCAGGGAUGGGGUAUCCACCACCUCUCUGAGCAACCUAUUCCAAUUCCUCACCACACUUAUUGUAAGAAACUUAUUAUUUAUAUCCAGUCUAAAUCUCCCUGUUUUUAGUUUGAAACCAUUUCCCCUUCUCCUAUCACAAUGACUUUUGAGAGAUGCAUCUCUCUCUCUCUCUCUUACCAACGGCUAAGCAAUAUGCUGUUUUUGGGGUUACAGUAAGCAGAUUCCGUGAUCCCUUGAGGCAAAAAACAAUUCACUCCUUUCAUUGCCUCUGAGACUUGGCUGUGAGUCUGCUCUCUGCUACUUUCAGGCUCUCACAGUCUCUGCAUGUACUGAAUAGAGCUCCCCAUAGCACCCUGCUCUGCUCUACCUUGCAACCAGAUACAAACUGUUAGCAGGGAGGAAACAGUUCACCUUUCCUCUGCCUGCCUUGCCACGUGGCCUCUGUGCAGACAGGUAGCCUUGCUAACAGCCCCAGCCCUUUCCACAGAACAUAAUGGCUGCUAACUGUGAAUAAACAAUUGAGACACAUUCUGUGUGUCUUGAGGGCUGUAAGCACUUCUAGAGUCCAAAUAAUAUAUGAAUAUUAAUGGAAUGGCUGCAAUGAUAUAAUAAAAGCAAAGCAAUAAAUGUCCUCGGGAACAUGAUAAUCUAACUUCAAAAGCAAUUACCAUCAGUAACAAAAUGCAGAGAGAAAUCUAGGAUUACUUUAAUAAGAUUACCUGAUUUUUCUCGUUUGUUUCCGUCACUGACUGUAAUGCUGUUUCAACUUCUCUUUCAAUCAGUUUCACAGAUGCUUCUCACUCCAACCAUUGGCAGGCCAUGUUGGAUGCUGAAGAGAGUUCUCACUCUCUGUCCUAUGGGAUUCAGUCAGCUGCUGCUGCUUGGUCUUUGCCCUCCCCUACUCUUGUGCCCUUGCUGUCUCCAUAAAGUUUUUCUGCACCCAGUGCCUUCAUAACCAUGCCAGAAAAGAGGAAUGGAAAGACAUGGAGGAGUUAGAAAAGCUGGGGUCUUUGUGAGGGUAGAAGGGCAGUAGGGAAAAUAAUUGUCAGGUCAGUAUUGUAAGGUAGAGACAGAGAAUUGAUGAUUAUAAAGGCUCUUACAAAGCUCAGCUUUAUUAAGCAGGCCAAGGAGAGCUCAGUAAUGCAGCACAUAGGCUAUAGUCCAAGGAACUCUACUCUAGCUUCCUGGAAUCCCAAUCAGUGCCCAGUGCUCAUGCUCUUUUCACUCUAUUUUCAACCCUCCACCUGUGUCCUUGUAGCACAUGCAUCCCAGAGCUUGAUCACUGACACAAUCAGUAGUCAUGGCCUUGUACAGAGAGUCUGUAGGGAGCUAGGCAAGUGCUUAGGGAGCUUGAGGCUCAUACAGCUGAGAGAUGCAGAUGGUGUGAUGGAGAAACUGCUGAGAGAAACAGUGAUGUCUCUGCAGAGACCUUGGUAAAUCACACUAGGGAUGAACGCACCAGCUCUGUGUAUGAGAGAUUGUUUGUUCUCCACUGCUGGAGGCAGCACUGGAAAGACUAGCUGUCUGCUUCUGCUUGAGAGGAGAUCUGUAUGUAUAUAUUGGUGUUGAGAGGG
ensembl:lncRNA